GCUAUUGGAGUUCGAUUAAGCCAUGCGAGUCGAGAGUCCUCGGGACUCGGCGUACCGCUCAGUAACACGUGGGUAACCUGCCCUAUGCUGGGGAAUAACCUCGGGAAACUGAGAAUAAUGCCCCAUAGCCCACUACGCCUGGAACGGUGAGUGGGUCAAAGCUCCGGCGGCAUAGGAUGGGCCUGCGCCGUAUCAGGUUGUAGGGGGUGUAAAGUACCCUCUAGCCAUCAACGCGUACGGGUGUUGGGAGACAUUGCCCGGAGAUGGAUUCUGAGACACGGAUCCAGACCCUACGGGGUGCAGCAGGCGCGAAAACUUGGCAAUGCGAGCAAUCGUGACCAGGGAACCCCAAGUGCGUAGGGUAAGACCUACGCUUUUCUUGACUCUUCAAAGGUCUUGGAAUAAGGGGUGGGUAAGGACGGUGCCAGCCGCCGCGGUAAUACCGGCGCCUCAAGUGGUAGUCGCUUUUAUUGGGCCUAAAACGUCCGUAGCCGGUCUGGUGCAUUCGUGGGUAAAUCAACCCGCUCAACGGGUUGAAUUCUGCGAGCACGGCCAGACUUGGGACCGGGAGAGGUGUGGGGUACUCUCAGGGUAGGGGUAAAAUCCUGUCAUCCUGAGAGGACCACCUGUUGCGAAGGCGCCACACUAGAACGGAUCCGACGGUCAGGGACGAAACCUAGGGGCACGAACCGGAUUAGAUACCCGGGUAGUCCUAGGUGUAAACGCUGUGGACUUGAUGUUGGGGGCGCUCCGAGCGCUCUCAGUGUCGAAGCGAAGGUGAUAAGUCCACUGCCUGGGGAGUACGGUCGCAAGGCUGAAACUUAAAGGAAUUGGCGGGGGAGCACUGC
rnacentral:rRNA from 1 species